rnacentral:rRNA from 1 species
UACGGGGGGAGCAAGCGUUGUUCGGAUUUACUGGGCGUAAAGGGCGCGUAGGCGGCCUCUGCAAGUCGACUGUGAAAUCUCCGGGCUUAACCCGGAAAGGUCAGCCGAUACUGCAGGGCUAGAAUGCAGAAGGGGCAACUGGAAUUCUCGGUGUAGCGGUGAAAUGCGUAGAUAUCGAGAGGAACACCUGCGGCGAAGGCGGGUUGCUGGGCUGACACUGACGCUGAGGCGCGAAAGCGUGGGGAGCAAACGGG